AUGGCCGCGCCGCCGCUCCGGCCGGAGGCGGAAGAGGGCAGCAAGGGCGCCGAGGUCUGCCUGUUCGACCAGUCGCAGGAGGAUUUCUCCAGGGCGGUACGCGCCAUCUCGGAGCUCGCCACCGGCGACCCCCAGCCGGGGUUCCCCGACGCCGAAGCAGAAAGGCUCGCCUCCUCAGUAACGUUCCUCAGAGAAUGGAGGCAUUUCUCUUAUGAGCCAAAAGGUGUUAGUUUUGUUUACGGCGCUGGAUCAGCUUCAUCCGGAGAUGACACACCUGAGAUAACCUUACCACAGUUCUCAUCUGCAUCUUUUCCUCAGUGUGAAUCAAUGCAGGUCACACACUUGGAAGAUGGGAGGGAUAAGAAUACAGACAGUUCUGAUUUCAUUUUGUUCGCUGGGGGAAGUGUUUGGUCGCUGGACUGGUGCCCAAAGUUGUGCGACAAGCCUUGUUCUCGUGUAAAUUGUGAGUAUCUUGCUGUUGCUGCUCAUCCUCCUGGUUCUUCUUACCAUAAGCUUGGUAUGCCAUUGAUUGGCAGAGGUAUCAUUCAAGUUUGGUGUCUCGUAGCACCCUUUGAAGAGGCAGAUCCUCAUCAGUCAAUGAUUGCGUACAGUAAGAGCAAUCGUAGAGGAAGGCCUAGAAAAAUACCAGACGAGAAUAACUCCAUUGAGAGUUCAUCAGUUCCUCGAAAACCGAUAGGGAGACCAAGAAAGAUAAAACUGACAACCACUGAUGAUUCCACAGAACCAUGUCUGAAAAAACCAAGGGGCAGACCAAGAAAGAUAGAACCAGCAACUACUGAUGAUCACGAAGAACCAAGUAUGAAAAAACCAAGGGGGAGACCAAGAAAGAUAGAACCAGCAACUACUGAUGAUCACGAAGAACCAAGUAUGAAAAAACCAAGGGGGAGACCAAGAAAGAUAAAACCUGCAACUGCUGAUGAUUAUGCAGAACCAAGUCUGAGAAAACCAAGGGGUAGACCAAGAAAGUUAGAGCCUGCAACUGCUGAUGAUUACGCAGAACCAAGUCUGAGAAAACCAAGGGGGAGACCAAGAAAGAUAAAACCUGCAACUACUGCUGAUCAUGCAGAACCAAGUCUGAAAAAACCAAGGGGCAGACCAAGGAAAACCAAGUGCAAUGUCCAUUUGAAUGCUGCAUCAUUAGCACUUAGCUUGUGCAAUGCAAAUUACAAGGAAGAAUCAAGUGCCCAACAUAGAAAGAAGCCUGUUUCAACAGAGUGCAGUUCUUCAACCACAUUCAGUGGCAAAGAACAAAACAAUCAGCCAACUCCCAAACCAAGUGACAAUGUGCUCUCAGUUGAAAAGUGCAAGAAAGAAUUACUUGUCUACACCAGAAGGCGUGUACGACCUCCUGCAAAGAAAUCUGCUCCGAAUGAGACUUGCUCACUGGCUCUUAGUGGUGACGUACAGAAGAUGGAGACAUCCUACACAUCCAUCAUGCCAAAUAAUCAUUUGUCUUCUGUUGAGAAUCCCAAACUAUUGGGUUCAUCUAUGAGUGAAGACAUGGCUAAUGAGGCUGGUUUGGUGGGAUGUAAGAGCACAGUUGUUAACCGUGAGGUCAUGGAAAUGAAUGAUGGUGAGGCUGCCAAUCAAGUUGUCCAUGCUCCUUUUGAAGAUAGUGCCCGGAUGAUAGUUGAAGUGGAAAAUACAGAAGUAGUUCAAAUAAAAAAAUCAAGUCAAAAUGAUAAUAUAAUUACUUGUGCAGAAAACCCAAACCUUUCUGCAAUCCCCAAGGGCAUUCAUCUACCAAGGGCCGUCUUGUGUUUAGCUCAUAACGGAAAAGUUGCUUGGGACAUCAAAUGGAAGCCUCCUUUACCAAAUCAGUCAGAACAGAAAUCACGUUUGGGUUUUCUUGCAGUACUGUUGGGAAAUGGCUCACUGGAAGUAUGGGAAGUUCCAUCUCCAAGCAUAAUCCAGAAGAUAUAUUCAUCUUCUUUAAUGAAGGGUACCGACCCUCGCUUUCUAAAGCUGCGGCCUGUAUUUAGGUGUGCUAAAGUGAAGUGCGGGAACAUACAGAGCAUUCCCUUGACAGUUGAUUGGUCGCCUUCUCCUCAUGAUAUGAUACUGGCAGGAUGUCAUGAUGGAACGGUUGCUUUAUGGAAGUUCUCUACAGACUUGCCAGCACAAGAUUCAAAACCUUUUAUGUGUGUCACUGCUGAAUCUGUUCCCAUCAGAGCCCUCUCGUGGGCACCAUAUGUAAGUGAGGAAAAGACAAACACCUUUGUCACUGCUGGAGAGGAUGGCCUAAAAUUCUGGGAUUUAAGAGAUCCAUACCGUCCUCUGUGGGAACUAACUACUGCCCCAAGGGCUGUUUUAAGUCUUCAUUGGUUAAAGGAUGCAAGAGGUAUUGUCAUCUCAUUGGAAGAUGGUACAUUGAAGUUCCUCAGCUUACCUACAAUAGCCAAUGAUGUACCUGUCACCGGAAGGCCAUUCGCUGGGACUAAAACUCAGGGCAUUCAUACUUAUCAAUUAUCAGAAUAUUUGAUAUGGGACGUCCAUGUCUCAGAAAUUACAGGUCAAGCAGCUUAUUGCGUGGUAGAUGGUACUGCUGUGCGCUUCCAGCUUACUAAGAGAUUCUGGGAGAAGAAACCUGGGAGGAACCGUGUACCUUAUUUCCUCUGUGGUUCACUGGCAGAGGAGGGGACAGUCAUUAAGAUUGGUGGCACAUUGCAAAGCUCUCCUUUAUCGAAUGUUCCUCUGGUCACGAAAAAGGGUCCAGAAUCAUGCCAAGAUGUAGAUCAAACGGACGACAUGUGGAAAGAGGAACUACGGACUCUCACUAACUCAGAGCAUGUAGAUCCAGAACUCAGAGAUGGUGAACUAGAUGAAGGCCGAGAAACUAGUGCUCUAGUUUUAGCUGAUGCUCUAAUGCAAGAGAGUGAUGGCAUGCACAACGGCCCAGUUGAUGAAAAUGCUAAAUACGACUUCGAGGUCUUCCCUCCCAAAGCUGUAGCGCUGCAUCGGUUGAGAUGGAACACAAAUAGAGGCAGCGAGAGAUGGUUAUGCUAUGGAGGCGCCGCAGGCAUUAUUCGUUGUCAGAGGAUCUAA
rnacentral:rRNA from 1 species